rnacentral:tRNA from 1 species
AGAGGAUUAGUUUAAUGGUAGAACAGCGGCUUCCAAACCCGUUAGUGGGGGUUCGAUUCCCUCAUCCUCUGCCA